rnacentral:lncRNA from 1 species
CUUAAAAUGUUUAAUUUAAUCUUUUUCAUAUAUUACAAAAUUUAUUUUUGGCGAUUUAGUCUAAUUCCGCCACAUACAUAUCAUAUUUAUCAAUAUCUUAAUAUUUUUCAAGUUAUAUAUAUAUAUAUAUCCUUUAAUUUGAGCAUGUCCAAGCACCAAUAUUGGCAAAAACAAGUGUGAGAUGCCGGGCACUCAGACGAUACAGCUACUGCUGCAGGUUCAGAAAACCUUAGACAAAGCUGCUGGCAAUCUUCACGUACGCAGUUAUCCCUGUACCAAAACUGACGCCGACAUUCAAUAGCAAGUCUUUGACCCACACCCACUUCACUUCUCAUCACUGACACAUACAACACCGCAAACACACUACGAUUCAUCAAUUACUCUUAUAAAUAACACAUUUCAUGUAAAUGUUACCAUUUUUUCUUUAAUAAAACUAGGACAAGAACAUAUUAACAUGCAUGAUAUAUGAAUCAAGAUAUUAGAUAUGUAUGUGAACAAACCUGAAACCAAAAGAAAAAGUGAAAAAAACUUUGCCAUGCUUAAUUUUGCCAUUAUUUAUCAAACCAUUGGCGGC